rnacentral:lncRNA from 1 species
UGCUUUAUCUCGGGAACAUACGUUGCGACGUUUUCUUGACCGAGCAUGAUUUGUUGCGGAAAGACAUACUUGUAUUCUGCGGAGAUUUAGACGUUAACUUCAUCGUAACCGUUUCGACCCCAACAAUCGCAACACUCUUACGCGGAUUCGAAAUAAGAUCUAAUUUUUCUAAAAAUUCGUUUUGUUAUCUUUUUAUAUUUUCCGCAUUUGUUUGGUUACUUGUCGUUGGCUCUCGCAGAGAA